GAUGAACGCUGGCGGCGUGCCUAAUACAUGCAAGUCGAGCGAACGGACGAGAAGCUUGCGUCUCUGAUGUUAGCGGCGGACGGGUGAGUAACACGUGGAUAACCUACCUAUAAGACUGGGAUAACUUCGGGAAACCGUAGCUAAUACCGGAUAAUAUUUUGAACCGCAUGGUUCAAAAGUGAAAGACGGUCUUGCUGUCACUUAUAGAUGGAUCCGCGCUGCAUUAGCUAGUUGGUAAGGUAACGGCUUACCAAGGCAACGAUGCAUAGCCGCCCUGAGAGGGUGAUAGCCCACACUGGAACGGGGACACGGUCCAGACUCCUACGAGAGGCAGCAGUAGGGAAUCUUCCGCAAAGGGCGAAAGCCUGACGGAGCAACGCCGCGUGAGUGCUGAAGGUCUUCGGAUCGUAAAACUCUGUUAUUAGGGAAGAACAUAUGUGUAAGUAACUGUGCACAUCUUGACGGUACCUAAUCAGAAAGCCACGGCUAACUACGUG
rnacentral:rRNA from 1 species